UGGGCAGGAUCCACUAAGUACAAACAUUUAAUCUCAAUUGAUGGGGCUACUAAGUAUCAACAUUCAACUCCCAUUAGUGGAGUCCACUAUAAUAUAGUUAUGGUGAAAACAUAAAUCCAAUCUAUAUCAAAGUACUUUUACAACAUAAUAUAUAGAUAUCAUAAUUGCAUUCAAUAUAUGGGUAUUCUAUAAUAAAUCAAUAACC
rnacentral:lncRNA from 1 species